UGGCGCAAUGACAGCGCGUUCGACUCCAGAUCGAAAGGUUGGGCGUUCGAUCCGCUC
rnacentral:tRNA from 1 species